UACGACGGGUACGGGUUGUGAGAGCAAGAGCCCGGAGAUGGAUUCUGAGACACGAAUCCAGGCCCUACGGGGUGCAGCAGGCGCGAAAACUUUACAAUGCUGGCAACAGCGAUAAGGGAACCUCGAGUGCCAGGUUACAAAUCUGGCUGUCGUGAUGCCUAAAAAGCAUUUCAUAGCAAGGGCCGGGCAAGACCGGUGCCAGCCGCCGCGGUAACACCGGCGGCUCGAGUGGUAACCGUUAUUAUUGGGUCUAAAGGGUCUGUAGCCGGCCGGAUAAGUCUCUUGAGAAAUCUGGCAGCUUAACUGUCAGGCUUUCAGGAGAUACUGUCUGGCUCGAGGCCGGGAGAGGUGAGAGGUACUUCAGGGGUAGGGGUGAAAUCUUGUAAUCCUUGAAGGACCACCAGUGGCGAAGGCGUCUCACCAGAACGGACCUGACGGCAAGGGACGAAAGCUAGGGGCACGAACCGGAUUAGAUACCCGGGUAGUCCUAGCCGUAAACGAUACUCGCUAGGUGUCGGCCACGGUGCGACCGUUGUCGGUGCCGUAGGGAAGCCGUGAAGCGAGC
rnacentral:rRNA from 1 species